CUUAAUUUGACUCAACCGGGAAAACUCACCAGGUCCAGACAUGGUAAGGAUUGACAGAUUGAGAGCUCUUUCUUGAUUCCAUGAAAGGUGGCGCAUGGCCGUUCUUAGUUGGUGGAGUGAUUUGUCUGGUUAAUUCCGUUAACGAACGAGACCUUGACCUGCUAACUAGUCACAGUAAAUGCUUUUGUGUUUGCUGGCUGAUCUUCUUAGAGGGACAAUCUGUGUUUCCAGCAGAUGGAAGUGCGAGGCAAUAA
rnacentral:rRNA from 1 species